ensembl:lncRNA
AUUGGCUGCUGGCUUACCAUUGGCUGCUGGCUUACCAUUGGCUGCUGGCUUACCAUUGGCUGCUGGCUUACCAUUGGCUGCUGGCUUACCAUUGGCUGGUUGGUUGUGAACUGCAGACUACUACUGGACUCUCUUCCUCCUUUGGACUGAAGCAACUGUCUAUUGAUAUGUAAUGUGUUUCCUUGUUUGAAAUACUGUAUUACGUUGACAAAAAGAUGUCAUAGACAUUUUAAUAGCUACUGACAUGUUGGGUAGGCCCAGGGGAAGGCCAUAUUACGGCCAUGCUUACCUGAUAUCGGGUUAUUAUGGCCUUGAUUACUUGAUAUCGGGUUAUUACGGCCUUGGUUACUUGAUAUCGGGUUAUUACGGCCUUGGUUACUUGAUAUCGGGUUAUUACGGCCUUGGUUACUUGAUAUCGGGUUAUUACGGCCUUGGUUACUUGAUAUCGGGUUAUUACGGCCUUGGUUACUUGAUAUCGGGUUAUUACGGCCUUGGUUACUUGAUAUCGGGUUAUUACGGCCUUGGUUACUUGAUAUCGGGUUAUUAUGGCCUUGGUUACUUGAUAUGGGGUUAUUAUGGCCUUGGUUACUUGGUGGCAGGGUAGCCUAGUGGUUAGAGCGUUGGUCUAGUAACAGGAAGAUUGCAAGUUCAAACCCCCGAGCUGACAAGGUACAAAUCUGUCAUUCUGCCCCUGAACAGGCAGUUAAACCCACUGUUCCUAGACCGUCAUUGAAAAUAAGAAUUUGUUCUUAACUGACUUGCCUAGUUAAAUAAAGGUUAAAUAAAUAUUGGGUUAUUAUGGCCUUGGUUACUUGAAGUGCUAGGUGGUGGUGAUGACCACGGACUGAACUUGAUUAUUGGGUGUGUCCCAAAUUGUACCAUAUUUCCUACGUAGUGCACUAUAUUGGGAGUGGACAUUAUGUUCAUAUUUUAUAUAUUUUAUGCCUCUUGUGUUUCAGGAAUCAUUGAUUUGCCGAUAAAUCGUAUCUUACUUUCGUAUUGAGUUUUGUCAUCGUUGUUGAAGGGAACUAUGAUCAUGCUAGCCUGAGUUCUAGACUGAGUGCCAGUCUGUCUGUGCUGUCAUGCCAACUCCUUGUCACUCAUUUAGCUUGACAAUGACAGCAUUGGAGUUAUCAAGAGAACAAACUGAUCUGGGACCAGGCUCUGCUCACCAGCUGACAACUCCAAUUUUUUAAAUGUUUAAAAGCUUUGACAUGAUGAGACCGGUCAGAAAUAUGCAGCGUCCCAUAAAACAACCCAGACCAGAACCGUAGGCCUGAUCACCGACAACGACGAGACAGCCUAUAGGGAGGAGGUCAGAGACCUGGCCGUGAGGUGCCAGGACAACAACCUCUCCCUCAACGAUGAGACAGCCUAUUGGGAGGAGGUCAGAGACCUGGCCGUGAGGUGCCAGGACAACAACCUCUCCCUCAACGACGAGACAGCCUAUAGGGAGGAGGUCAGAGACCUGGCCGGGAGGUGCCAGGACAACAACCUCUCCCUCAACGACGAGACAGCCUAUAGGGAGUAGGUCAGAGACCUGGCCGUGUGGUGCCAGGACAACAACCUCUCCAUCAACGUGAUCAAGACAAAGGGGAUGAUUGUGGACUACAGGGAAAAAAAGGACUAAGCACGCCCCCAUUCUCAUCGCCGGGGCUGCAGUGGAGCAGGUUGAGAGCUUCAAGUUCCUUGGUGUCCACAUCACCAACAAACUAACAUGGUCCAAGCACACCAAGAUAAGAGAAGAGGGCAAAACAAAACCUAUUCCCCCUCAGGAGACAAAAUAUUUGUCAUGGGUCCUCAGAUCCUCAAAAGGUUCUACAGCUGCACCAUCGAGAGCAUCCUGACUAGUUGCAUCAAUGCCUGUUAUGGUAACUGCUCGGCCUCCGACCGUAAGCCACUACAGAGGGUAAUGCGUAUGGCCCAGUACAUCACUGGGGACAAGCUUCCUGCCAUCCAGGACCUCUAUACCAGGCUGCGUCAGAGGAAGGCCCUAAAAAUUGUCAGACUCCAGCCACUCUAGUCUUUCUCUCUGCUACCGCAUGGCAAGCGGUACCAGAGUGCCAAGUCUAGGUCCAAGAGGCUCCUAAACAGCUUCUACCCCCAAGCCAUAAGUCUCCUGAACAACUAAUCAAAUGGCUCCCCAGACUAUUUGCAUUGCCCCCCUCUUUUACACCACUGUUACUCUCUGUUGUUAUCAUCUAUGCAUUGUCACUUUAAUAACUCUAUGUACAUAUUACCUCAACUAACCGGUGCCCCGGCACAUUGACUCUGUACCGGUGCCCCCUGUAUAUAGCCUCCACAUUGACUCUGUACCGGUACCCCCUGUAUAUAGCCUCCACAUUGACUCUGUACCGGUUCCCCCUGUAUAUAGCCUCCACAUUGACUCUGUACCGUAAUACCCUGUAUAUAGCCUCCACAUUGACUGUACCGUAACACCCUAUAUAUAGCCUCCACAUUGACUCUGUACUGGUACCCCUGUAUAUAGCCUCCACAUUGACUCUGUACCGGUACCCCCUGUAUAUAGCCUCCACAUUGACUCUGUACCGUA